CGAACGCUGGCGGCGUGCUUAACACAUGCAAGUCGAACGAUGACGACCGAGCUUGCUCGGUCUGAUUAGUGGCGAACGGGUGAGUAACACGUGAGCAACCUGCCCUUCACUCUGGGAUAACCUCGGGAAAUCGGGGCUAAUACCGGAUAUGAGCUCCUGUCGCAUGGCGGGUGUUGGAAAGUUUUUCGGUGAAGGAUGGGCUCGCGGCCUAUCAGUUUGUUGGUGAGGUAGUGGCUCACCAAGGCGAUGACGGGUAGCCGGCCUGAGAGGGCGACCGGCCACACUGGGACUGAGACACGGCCCAGACUCCUACGGGAGGCAGCAGUGGGGAAUAUUGCACAAUGGGCGAAAGCCUGAUGCAGCGACGCCGCGUGAGGGAUGACGGCCUUCGGGUUGUAAACCUCUUUCAGCAGGGAAGAAGCGAAAGUGACGGUACCUGCAGAAGAAGCGCCGGCUAACUACGUG
rnacentral:rRNA from 1 species